rnacentral:misc_RNA from 1 species
CUGACGACGCCCUUCCUCGGACGGUUUAGGCGCUCCACCACCUCAGUCCGGGUGCACUGUCUUGCCCUCGACUCCAGUGCCUGUCACCUCCUCCUGGGCCUUGGCGUUACCGUGGCCCCUCGCACAGAGAACCCUCGGUCCAACAAGCAUCUAGGCGUCUUUGGUAGUGGUCUGUCAACAACUUACAAGUUACAGAUGAUGCAAUAUGUAAAGAUAGGCUUCAGCAUAUGA